AAAAAAAAAUUAGAGUAAAAUUAACUGUUCGGCCAUGUUUAAUUUUACUAUGCCUAAAAAUAGUAAUGGUGAUUAUGUUUUAAGUGAUGACUACUAUGUUUUUCUGAAAAUUACCAUGACUAGACAACCAGCCGAAUAGUGAUCAGUACUAUGCAACGUAGUUAGUUUGAUAACUACUUUCGUGUUUUGCAGAACUAUAUUUAUUCUUGUAUCUACUGCUAUGCAUAGUCAAGACAAACAUUAUAGUAAUAAUAGACGUUGACACAUAUUGAAUAUAAAAAUUAUCUGUUUGUUAUUUUUUUCCAUGGACCCGCAUGAGUCGCUGGCAAAUGCAACCAAUUUCUAAAUCAAUAUUCCUUGCUAUGAGGUUCCCUGGAAAACCUACCUCCGAACGAGCAAGGGAACUCGGAGUGCAUACGGACACCAAAACGACGGCCACUGCCUCGGAUCUAAUCAAUCAGAAGACUAUGGAGGAAGGGGCGGAUGGAGGUGGAAGGAGCACCGGAACUAGACCGAAUCUGUUGAGUACAGACGUUCCAUCAUUGCGGCAGCAAACUGGAGCAGAUUCCAUGGCGUUGAGAAGUUACUUCGUCGGUACUUUUACGACCGCGGGGAGACGCCAGCAACUUCCACGUCUUGGCGGACAAGUCCGGAAUGUUACUGUUACUGUAUACGGUUCUGCUGACGAAGGGGCUCAAAAUGUAGAUGAAGUGACGAAUACAUCUGAACCACCGCUACGUACGGUGGUAGCGGCAGUCGGGCACUGAUUAGGCUCAUAUUGGUCGGGCGGACUGCGGCAUCAUCCUCCAGAAACAUUAUCCGAGCCGAAAAACUACACUGGGAGCGAGGACUUUAACAACUCUGCUAAAGGUGGCCAAGAAAACUUCGCCCCAUCAUCCCCGGAAAAUUAUUCUUUAGCCAUUUAAGAUAUUUGUUUAUAAUAAGUUUUAUUUGAUUUAAAAUAAUAAACUAAUCCUAAUUGAUUUAUCUACAGUGUUUUUUUUUAAACGUAAACAAAAAUGGAUGACGCUGCUGCUGCUGAACUACGCGCAUAGUAAUUUAAACCAUAUUACGAUAGUCAAACUUACUAUGCCGCUUGACACACGCAUGGUAAAAUGAACUAUGGAAACAUAUUCAAAAAUACCAUAAAAUGUAAAUAAAAAGUGACAUGGUAAAUAGAACCCUGCACAUGGUAGUUUCAAAAAUUAAUUAUGGUCUACCAAAAUCAAGUAGUAAAAGUGUUUUAGUUUCACCCUCGGUUUGGUCACCGUUACCAUGUCCC